rnacentral:rRNA from 1 species
GAUGAACGCUGGCGGCGUGCUUAACACAUGCAAGUCGAACGGUGAAGGUGGGAGCUUGCUCCUGCCGGAUCAGUGGCGAACGGGUGAGUAACACGUGAGCAAUCUGCCCCGAACUCUGGGAUAAGCGCUGGAAACGGCGUCUAAUACCGGAUACGACGCGCGACGGCAUCGUCUGCGCGUGGAAAGAACUUCGGUUCGGGAUGAGCUCGCGGCCUAUCAGCUUGUUGGUGAGGUAAUGGCUCACCAAGGCGACGAUCCGUAGCUGGUCUGAGAGGAUGACCAGCCACACUGGGACGGAGACACGGCCCAGACUCCUACGGGAGGCAGCAGUGGGGAAUAUUGGACAAUGGGCGAAAGCCUGAUCCAGCCAUGCCGCGUGGGUGAAGAAGGCCUUAGGGUUGUAAACCCCUUUCAGCGGGGAAGAUAAUGACGGUACCCGCAGAAGAAGUCCCGGCUAACUCCGUGCCAGCAGCCGCAGUAAUAC